rnacentral:lncRNA from 1 species
CAAGGCGGUGGUGCUCGGCGUCGUGUACGCCUCGGCGAUCGGCGGGAUCGCCACGCUGACGGGCACGGGCGUGAACAUCAUCCUGGUGGGGAUGUGGUCCACCUACUUCCCGGAGCAGCGCCCCAUCACCUUCAGCUCCUGGAUGUCCUUCGGGCUCCCCAUUUCACUGGUCCUGUUCGUGGCGCUCUGGGCCACGCUCUGCCUGAUGUACUGCUCCAAGAACACCGGGAGGGCGCUCUCCGCAUACCUCGACAGGAGCCACCUCAGAAGGGAGCUCGGCUUGCUGGGUAGGUUCUGCCUCCUUGCUUCCGUUGACUGUCGAGAGGAAUGGCAAGCAUGUUCAUUAAUGAUCUGACCAAUGCCGAAUGCGCAGCCUGGAAUAUUCUGAAAUAUAGACACGUUUUAGUUUUGGUUAUUUCUUUGACAGUUACUGAAGCCUUAUUGUAGUACUGAUUAUUGCCAUCGGAUUUUCUGACGGGGUCUC